AAGAUAUUAGUAAAAUACACAUUAUAUCACCUUGUCAAGAUGAAGUCACAGGUUAGACCCCUGUAUAUCUUA
rnacentral:tRNA from 1 species